AGAAAGUCCUGGUUCAAGACCAUCCAGACAUUCUAGAGAAUCCUAGUUUAUUAUUGCUUCCCUCACCUUUAAUACUGCUCCCACCCUCCACCAAGGUAGAAAGCAGCACAUGCAAUACCCCAGUGAGCUUGGCUGUGCCUCACAGGGGCUGCUGGGAGCUUCCUGGUACUCUCAGUCUUAUUUAUUCCUUGUGUUUUCUUUCUGUCAGGCCCCUCCUUGGUUCCUAAUCUUUCAGCUAGCAAGAGUACAGACUGCUCUGCUGGCUUACUGUCUGGAUGGGAACAGGAUGAGCACUACAGACAUGCUGUAUCAAAGACUGCACCUGCAACAAAUAUAUCUGCAUCACUGAAGAGAACAGGAAGCCAUUUGAAAGAACCACAUCAAAGAGGAUGCUGCUGUCUCGGAGCGAUACCAACCCACUGAGCAAGGCCUGGGAGUGCUCGGCGCUGCGCAAGAUCAAGACAACCAGCUCAGAAGAGGAACUCUGAUGGAACAGCCUUCUAGGGAGCACAUUCAGCUUGUGACACUUGUCAGCCCUGGCACUGUGCACCACGAAGAAGUGUUUGGCUCUACAUUUUCCAACACCCAUUACAUACACAAGCUUUACAUGCUUGUGCUAACACAGCCCAGUAUGCAACUGGCUCCUGCUGGAGGAAUCCUAUUCAACUUGCUGCUCAUCAGGACCCCUGGGCUCUUCUCUUGCAAAGCUGGCUUCUAGCCAGACUUGUCUCCAAGCUGUCCUGAUACAGGGAGUUACUCUGCCCCAGGUUCAUAACUUCACCUUUGCUAUUAAACUCUGUGGUUCCUCUUAGUCCAUUCUUGCAGCUUGCUGAUGUCCCUCAGCUGCAGCUCUGUCCUUUUUCCUGCAGGCCAGCCUCUUCAUAGCUUUUUUCCUAAUACAGAGCAACCAGUGUGCUGUGCUGAUUGUGAUCCAACUAGAUUGAGCCCUUAGAAGUCUCAGUGCAUUGGAGGAAGUUUAAAACCUGUGCCCUAAAGCUUCCCAUACCUUCAUCUCUCCCUAGGGAGUAGCAAGAAUUAGGAUCUAAACCAGGGUUCAUCUGAAAGCCUGAGCAGGAGGCAAGAUCUAAGACUAGAGCAAAAUGCUGGUAACACUGGCUCUGGGGGUUGCACAUAGGCAGAACCUGGCUAUGGACCAGGAUUUUACCAGGGCAGAGGACACACAAACAAAUAGAUCAACUAGUCAGGGAGUAUGCAGAAUAGGAAGGCAGCUGGGUGCCUGCCAAAAUAGUUCAGAAAACAGAUGUGAUGCCACAAACAAUUUAAAUCGAAAAGCAAAACUAUUGUUCACCCUGAGCACAGUGCAGAUACUGGAAUAUUUCACCAGCUUGAUGAUAAUUUGCAGGGGGCACUUGUAAGACCACUUGCCACACAGAAGACAACUGAGGACACCGUUAUGUGCAGACAAGACUUAUGCCAAUUUCGUGCUUUUUCAUGGGAAAGGGAAGAGGGGUGAGGGAAAAAUAGAAGCUUUGCUCAGCAGUGCUUCUUUCAGAACUAUCCCAAAUGCUACCAAAAAAUUGUCAUGAAGAAAACAAAUUCAAUACAGUGCUUAAAUGCUUUCUCUUGUGGCUUCAUCAUCUGUUUAAGAGUCUAAUUUAUCUCUUACUCCCUCUUCUUUAUUUCUCAUCUCUGUCUUGAAACAUGAUUUAGUUUUCAUCUGAGUCUUUCAGUAGUUAUGUUCUGGUUUGGAUGGAGUGGCUGCUUGUCUUUGAAGGAAGUUUUAACCAACCGUAUUCAGGCAGGAUGUAUCUGCUUACCCUAAAAACAAGUGCCCUACCAUUACACCACUUUUUUCCAGAGUCAGAAUGUAGUGUUUAGUUCUAUGUCCAGACAGAUCUGGUAAAUGUGCAAGGAAUGUUUUUUGGACACAAUUGUUUUAAUUAUCCCAAGAACUCUUGGAAAGUCCCUCAAAAACCCAAAGAAUUUCCCUGGUAAGAACAACACUUUAUUUUUUUAACUAAGCUUUUACAGGGUCAAGCUCCCUGAAUAAUAACUAUGCCAAAAGUGCCAUUUUAUGAAUUAGCCAAUGGUAUAAAUUCUGUCAAUCUUGAGAGACUCAGCUGGUUGGCAAGAAUCUGCUUUGCUGAACUGCUUAAACAAUAUGAAGAAUUUUUAAUAAUCUAAAAUGCAAGGAGGAAAAAACCACUAGAAAGUCAUUA